UACGUAGGGGGCAAGCGUUGUCCGGAUUUAUUGGGCGUAAAAGAGCGUGUAGGCGGCCAGACAGGUCAGCUGUGAAAACUCGGAGGCUCAACCUCGAGACGUCGGUUGAAACCGUCGUGGCUAGAGUCCGGGAGAGGUGAGUGGAACUGCGAGUGUAGAGGUGAAAUUCGUAGAUAUUCGCAAGAACACCAGUGGCGAAGGCGGCUCACUGGCCCGAUACUGACGCUGAGGUGCGAAAGCGUGGGGAGCAAACAGG
rnacentral:rRNA from 1 species